rnacentral:rRNA from 1 species
GCCUGCCUACGGGGGGCAGCAGUCGGGAAUAUUGCGCAAUGGAGGAAACUCUGACGCAGUGACGCCGCGUAUAGGAAGAAGGUUUUCGGAUUGUAAACUAUUGUCGUUAGGGAAGAUAAAAGACUGUACCUAAGGAGGAAGCCCCGGCUAACUAUGUGCCAGCAGCCGCGGUAAUACAUAGGGGGCAAGCGUUAUCCGGAAUUAUUGGGUGUAAAGGGUGCGUAGACGGCUGUGCAAGCCAGAUGUGAAAGCCCGGGGCUCAACCCCGGGACUGCAUUUGGAACUGUGUGGCUGGAGUGUCGGAG